UGGAAGUGAUAUUCUGGAAACACAGCAGAGGCAUAGUUGAGAGUUAUGGAUAAUGGGAUACCAUGUUAAGGGAUGUGAGGAACAUUGAGCGCACUACUGAGCUAGUUAGAAGAGGGAAAGGAGUUGUUUUUGCAGCACUAGAAAGAUGAAGCUCGAGCAUUAAUGAACUUGUGGAUUUGUGGCAGAAGAAGAGGUGAAAAAUGAAGAAAAUGGAAUCAUAGAAUGAUUUGGUUUGGAAGUGACCAUUAAAGAUCAUCUAGUCCAAUCCCCCUGCAAUAAGCAGGAACAUCUUCAACUAGAUCAGGUUGCUCAGAGCCCGGUCCAGCCUGGCCUGGAAUGUUUUCAGGGAUGGGGCAUCUACCACCUCCCUGGGCAACCUGCACCAGUGUUCAUUCAUAAACUUGCUGAGGGUGUGCUCGAUUCCACUGUCCAUACCACUGAUGAAGAUAUUAUGCAGUACUGGUCCCAUUAUGGAUACCUGAGGGACACCACUUAUCACUGAUCUCCAUCUGGACAUUGAGCCAUUGACCAGUACCUUCUGUAUGUGGCCAUCCAGCCAAUUCCUUAUCCACUGAACAGUUCACCCAUCAAAUCUGUAUCUAUCCAAUUUAGAGAGAAGGAUGUUGUGGGGGACCAUGUCAAAGGCCUUAAGAGAAGGUCAGAUAGAUGAAAUCUGUAGCUCUUCUGUUGUCCACAGCUGUAGUCAUUCCAAGAUUAUCCUCCUGCCUCAAAGAUGAGAAGACUAACAGAGAUAGGAGUUUGCAGGGAGAUGAGUUAAACUGAAUGUGACUUUAGGUAUCAUUCCCAGGGUAAGGGGAGCUGGACCUAUUCAAGAAGAUGAGGUUGUACAUCUUACAUCUGACUGUUAUACAAUACGGACAAGCCUUAUGAGGAACAGCUGAGGAAACUGGGGCUGUUUAGCCUGGAGAAAGGAGGCUGAGGGGAGACCUUAUCACUGUCUACACCUACCUGAAAGAAGGGAGAGGCAAUUGCCGUCAUCAGAAACAUCAGAUGUUCCAAUUUGUACACGAUCCGCUUUUCUUUUCCCUUGGCCUUAACCCACUGUCACUGAAUAUCCUGAACAACUGCUGAAGACGGUUGCCAAUAUUGUGGAAAAAUUGAUCCCAGCAUCUGGCUCAAUGUGUUUGGAACCAGCUAACACUUUAGGAAAUUGACUUAGUGUGAAGAUGUGUAGCACUGGUGAAGUUUAAAGUGAUGCAAGUACUGGGAAUAUGGUUGUUGCCGGAAGAGAUAAGACGUCUGAUGCAGAAUGACCUGGAUUGCUUUGGUAUACUGAAAAGAGCUGAAAACUGUCUUAUGGUGUGAAAUUCUUCCUGUAGAGGCAAUGACAGUAAGGAUGGAGAAUUCUCUUCUGGCGAGUAAUGUUGGAAAAGUCCUGUGGAUUUUCACCCAGAAACAGAGGAAGCUGCAAGUAACAGAAUGUUCUAUUAACUGAGCUAAUGGAGCAGCUCUUUCUGCUAAACUUGUAUAACUCUUUGGAAACACCAUGUGCUGCUUGUUCACUUUCAGUCUCUUUACUAAUCAUUUUAGCAAGUCAAGUAAGGUCCCUUCCUUCUCUAAGGAUGUUUCCCUACAUCACAGUCUUGAAGCCUCACUUGCUGCUAAUUGCAGUGAUUGCAAAUAUGUUGACACUAAAUCUUGGUGAGUAUUGAAAAGAAAUCUGCAAAUAUUUAUUUGAUUUAGUAAGCACAUGUGCUUUGGCAGUGUUCACACCCCUUGGAGAUUUUCUUUCACUAGCAAGCUCUUAAUGGCAUGAAUGAUUGCAAAGUGAUGUAUUUUGAAUAAAAACCUGCAAAUUUCAAAAUCAGAACGGUAAAUAUUAUUGCCAUAAAACUGGUUCUUAAGCAGACUGUUGGACCUACUGAAGUAGGUGUGCUAUCUUGCAGAUGAAAUAGCGUGUGAGUUUUCAGCAAAACAUAUGAGAGAUCAGUGAAACUGCCAGUUUACACUAGCAAAAAGCUUGACUGCUAAGCCAUAUCCAUAGAGCC